rnacentral:lncRNA from 1 species
GUUAUAGAUGGUGGUGUAGAUGAUGCUGGGUCUAGUCAGGUUAUAGAUGGUGGUGUAGAUGAGGCUGGGUCUAGUCAGGUUAUAGAUGGUGGUGGUGUAGAUGAGGCUGGGUCUAGUCAGGUUAUAGAUGGUGGUGGUGUAGAUGAGGCUGGGUCUAGUCAGGUUAUAGAUGGUGGUGUAGAUGAGGCUGGGUCUAGUCAGGUUAUAGAUGGUGGUGUAGAUGAGUCUGGGUCUAGUCAGGUUAUAGAUGGUGGUGUAGAUGAGGCUGGGUCUAGUCAGGUUAUAGAUAGUGGUGUAGAUGAGGCUGGGUCUAGUCAGGUUAUAGGUGGUGGUGUAGAUGAGGCUGGGUCUAGUCAGGUUAUAGAUGGUGGUGUAGAUGAGGCUGGGUCUAGUCAGGUUAUAGAUGGUGGUGUAGAUGAGGCUGGGUCUAGUCAGGUUAUAGAUGGUGGUGGUGUAGAUGAGGCUGGGUCUAGUCAGGUUAUAGGUGGUGGUGUAGAUGAGGCUGGGUCUAGUCAGGUUAUAGAUGGUGGAGUAGAUGAGGCUGGGUCUAGUCAGGUUAUAUAUGGUGGUGGUGUAGAUGAGGCUGGGUCUAGUCAGGUUAUAGAUGGUGGUGUAGAUGAGGCUGGGUCUAGUCAGGUUAUAGAUGGUGGUGUAGAUGAGGCUGGGUCUAGUCAGGUUAUAGAUAGUGGUGUAGAUGAGGCUGGGUCUAGUCAGGUUAUAGAUGGUGGUGUAGAUGAGGCUGGGCCUAGUCAGGUUAUAGAUGGUGGUGGUGUAGAUGAGGCUGGGUCUAGUCAGGUUAUAGAUGGUGGUGUAGAUGAGGCUGGGUCUAGUCAGGUUAUAGAUGGUGGUGUAGAUGAGGCUGGGUCUAGUCAGGUUAUAGAUGGUGGUGUAGAUGAGGCUGGGUCUAGUCAGGUUAUAGGUGGUGGUGUAGAUGAGGCUGGGUCUAGUCAGGUUAUAGAUGGUGGUGUAGAUGAGGCUGGGUCUAGUCAGGCUAUAGAUGAUGGUGUAGAUGAGGCUGGGUCUAGUCAGGUUAUAGAUGGUGGUGUAGAUGAGGCUGGGUCUAGUCAGGCUAUAGAUGGUG